rnacentral:rRNA from 1 species
AGAAUCAACGCUGGCGGCGUGCCUAACACAUGCAAGUCGAACGAGAAAGUGGAGCAAUCCAUGAGUAAAGUGGCGCACGGGUGAGUAACACGUGACUAACCUACCCUUGAGUGGGGGAUAACCUAGAGAAAUCUGGGCUAAUACCGCAUAAUACCUUCGGGUCAAAGGAGCAAUUCGCUUAAGGAGGGGGUCGCGGCCGAUUAGUUAGUUGGCGGGGUAAUGGCCCACCAAGACUGUGAUCGGUAUCCGGCCUGAGAGGGCGCACGGACACACUGGAACUGAAACACGGUCCAGACUCCUACGGGAGGCAGCAGUGGGAAUUUGCGCAAUGGGGGAAACCCUGACGCAGCAACGCCGCGUGAGGAUGAAGCCCGUUGGGCGUAAACUCCUUUCGAUCGGGAAGAUAAUGACGGUACCGAGAGAAGAGCCCCGGCUAACUUCGCGCCAGCAGCCGC